GUCAAGUCAGCAUGGCCCUUACGCCUGGGGCGACACACACGCUACAAUGGCCGGUACAAAGGGUCGCCAACCCGCGAGGGGGAGCCAAUCCCAUAAAGCCGGUCGUAGUCCGGAUCGCAGUCUGCAACUCGGCUGCGUGAAGUCGGAAUCGCUAGUAAUCGUGAAUCAGCGAUGUCACGGUGAAUACGUUCCCGGGUCUU
rnacentral:rRNA from 1 species